rnacentral:ncRNA from 1 species
UGAUAGCUUUGAAGCGAGAGGUUGCUGCAACAUAUAAAAUAUGAUUGCAGGUUUUCCGUGGAGCGAAUGUCAAGUUAGGAAACUGACGGCAA